rnacentral:misc_RNA from 1 species
GUGAAUCAUCGAAUCUUUGAACGCACAUUGCACCCUCUGGUAUUCUGGGGGGUAUGCCUGUUCGAGCGUCAUAGCAACCAUCAAGCUCAGCUUGGUAUUGGGUGUCACUGGCAAACUCUUAGUGCACCUUAAAAUCAAUGGCGGUGCCAUUUGGCUUCAAGCAUAGUAAAGUUCGUGCUUUGGAGGUUCUGGUGUGUGCUUGCCAGCAAAUCAUUUUAUGACAAGGUUUGACCUCGGAUCAGGUAGGGAUACCCGCUGAACUUAAGCAUAUCAAUAAGCGGAGGA